GAACGGGUGAGUAACACGUGGGCAAUCUGCCCUUCACUCUGGGACAAGCCCUGGAAACGGGGUCUAAUACCGGAUAAUACUCCUGCCUGCAUGGGCGGGGGUUGAAAGCUCCGGCGGUGAAGGAUGAGCCCGCGGCCUAUCAGCUUGUUGGUGGGGUAAUGGCCCACCAAGGCGACGACGGGUAGCCGGCCUGAGAGGGCGACCGGCCACACUGGGACUGAGACACGGCCCAGACUCCUACGGGAGGCAGCAGUGGGGAAUAUUGCACAAUGGGCGAAAGCCUGAUGCAGCGACGCCGCGUGAGGGAUGACGGCCUUCGGGUUGUAAACCUCUUUCAGCAGGGAAGAAGCGAAAGUGACGGUACCUGCAGAAGAAGCGCCGGCUAACUACGUGCCAGCAGCCGCGGUAAUACGUAGGGCGCAAGCGUUGUCCGGAAUUAUUGGGCGUAAAGAGCUCGUAGGCGGCUUGUCACGUCGGAUGUGAAAGCCCGAGGCUUAACCUCGGGUCUGCAUUCGAUACGGGCUAGCUAGAGUGUGGUAGGGGAGAUCGGAAUUCCUGGUGUAGCGGUGAAAUGCGCAGAUAUCAGGAGGAACACCGGUGGCGAAGGCGGAUCUCUGGGCCAUUACUGACGCUGAGGAGCGAAA
rnacentral:rRNA from 7 species